CUACCUUGUGGUAGAGCGCAUGCGCACAUCGAUGCUACGUCACAUAUUGCUUACUCAGCAGUUUUCUUAUAAAUACGUCCUAGCUGUGGAAGUUUUGUUUCAUGUGUUUUAUUUUAUUGAAGAUUACGGAACACAAUGACCUGCGCAGUUCGGUGGACACAUUGUGGCUGCGCUGCAUUUGAUCAAGUCUGUCACACAAUGUAAACGUAUUAAUGCGCAAAAAAGAGUUGCGGUGAUCUGUUGACUGUGUUUAAUUUAAUUCCAAUAAAAACGUGUUUCCCCUGUC